rnacentral:rRNA from 1 species
UACGUAGGGGGCAAGCGUUGUCUGGAAUCAUUGGGCGUAAAGAGCGUGUAGGCGGCUCGGUAAGUCCGCUGUGAAAGUCCAGGGCUCAACCCUGGAAUGCCGGUGGAAACUGUCGGGCUAGAGUCCGGAAGAGGCGAGUGGAAUUCCUGGUGUAGCGGUGAAAUGCGCAGAUAUCGGGAGGAACACCAAUUGCGAAGGCAGCUCGCUGGGACGUUACUGACGCUGAGACGCGAAAGCGUGGGGAGCGAACAGG